UGUGCCCAAAUCCUCUAGCGGAGAACUAGGAUGGCAUCUCAGGAACUUGCUCCCGCCGCCAGGGAGGGUCCAGCCGAGUCCAGUGGUCUCCGGUGAUGUCAGCCAUUGGGCGGAAAAAUCGGAAGCCUCUGUGCCGUGGCCGUGUUAUUCAGUGCAAAUAUUUAGUCCAGAAGACAAAAGCGGGAACUCGGAAAAGAAACAAGGGGGCCUAAACCAAGGGAGAUGCAGAAGAACCUGCAGAGGGAGGGUGCGGGGGAGGCCAGCCUCGGAAAGGUUAGAACCGGAGCCUCUACCUUUUCUAAUAGAGAUUAAUGACUUGCUCGGGCGAGCAGCUACAAGCUUGCCGAAUGUGCUGACCGCCUGAAAUUAGCAAAGGUGGUGACUAAGGAAGGAAGAAAAUAUAAAAUGAGCCGAGUCUGAACGAGCCUCACUCAUCCCGGGCUGACAUAUGACAAAUAAAAUGAACGGCGACAAAGAGAAAGCCACGAGUAUUAGGGCACGUGACUGAUCUCAAGGAGGCUUCUGUGGCCGCCGAUAAGACCUUGGGAUCACGGCAGGCACACGCGCUUCCACGUGCACAGACCCUCCUCGCACACGCACACGCACACGGCACAGCCUGGUGUGGCAGAGAGAGCCACGUGGGCAAAAUCAUCUCUCUUUUAACCAGGACAGAGGAAGUGUCCCCAGAAAUGAGAACAGACGAUCCUGGACUCUGGCAAAACCCAGGUCAAGCAUCCCUCUCCGUUCCAGUCACCACCUAAUAAAAAUGUUAUCAAUCUAACACUUGAAAGGGGUCGGAAAAUGCACAGAGUCUAAGUGUCCUUAAAAGGGCGUCUGUGUACGGCUCAGGAGGUGGGGAAAUAGAAAGGGAAGGAAAAGGAAAAAAAAUCCCACAAAAAGCAUUUAGGAUCUGAAACAUCUGUGGGGUAGAUGAAUCUGUGAGAGUCAAACAUGAAGGUAAAUUUGAAUAGCUGAAUGUUUCCAAAAACUAAAUGUCAACCAGUUACAGAGGGAAAAAAAAAAUGUAUCUAUACAUGGCAACAACAACAACAACAACAACAAAAAUCAAACCGUUCAACUCAAGCCAAAAGCUCGCGUGCAUCUCAGGACUUCCCUGCAACAUGAUGGAAAGAAAACACCUGCAUAAAUGUAUUGAGGUAGAAUUCCUAGUUGUGUUUCUCUCCAAGAUUCAUGACAGUAUUCUCAUAUUUGAUUUGAUUUUUCCACUUUUUAAGACAAAUUCAAUAGUAUGUCAAACCUUUUAAAAAAAUAGAUGUCUUUAAGGAAAACCAUAUGGAAUGAUGGUAUUUUUCCCCUAUCUCAUGAUUGAGAUAAACUAUACAUGAAGGCGUUGCUUCAUUCUAAGGCUUGUUAACCAGAAUCGACUUUAGAUAAGUCGGUGCCUUCAGAUGAGGAUUUUUUCCUGUCUUUGUUUUUAUACACAUUUUCAAGAAGCUGUUUGAGGGAAUUCCCGUCGUGGCUCAGUGAAAACGAUUCUGACUAGGAUCCAUGAAGAUGCAGGUUCGAUCCCUGGCUUCACUCAGUGGGUUAAGGAUCCGGUGUUGCCGUGAGCUGUGGUGUAGGUCGCAGACACGCAGAUCCCAUGUUGAUGUGGCUGUGGUGUAGGCCGGCAGGUGCCGCUCCUAUUUGACCCCUAGCCUGGGGACCUUCAUAUGCUGCAGGUGCAGCCCUAAAAAGACACAAGACAAAAAAAAAAAAGUUGAGAUUCCAUGAAAACACAAAACCUGCUAUUCUGAAUCCACAUUAACUUGAGGGCCUCAUGAACCAGCAGCACCAAGAGAUGUUGGUGGGGCUUUGACGUCCUCUGUACUAUUCACCCCUCCCAUGAGAUGUCACCCAAAUACCCCCCGAUUUCUCUGGCUGUCACCUGGUCUCCUUGGAAAAGUGGCAGAUGUGUUUACAUGUCCAAGCCCCCAGCUCCACCCUCCAUUGCCACACAUCAAAGCCUACCGCAUGCUGGGCCCUGUGGUGGCUGGUAGCCUGGGGAUCAAAGGGGAUUGAGACGCAGCCCCUUUCAUGAGGACCUGACUGCCUAUGGGGGAUACAAGGAUGAAGGCAACAAGGAUGGUUUUGAUGCUGUUGUAACAACGGCCAUAUUCUGCAUAACUACUACAUGCCAGUACUAUUCCCACGUCCUCCUCAAAAUAAGGUGAGCUUUAUCCUCGUGAGUCAGCAGAGAUGAAGGCGUACCCAGCUCAUGCAAUGUGACGGAACAUUUUCACACUGAUAUUUGUGUCCCCCCAAAAUUCAUAUAUUGAAGCCCUAACCCCACCCCACCCCAACGUGGUGGUGCUUGGAGGUGAUAACUAGGUUACAAAGAGGUCAGGAGGGUGGGGCCCCCACACGGGAUUAGCAUCCUGAGAGGAAGGGCUCACUUUCUGCACCCUGUGAUGACACGGACAGAAGGCAGCCAUCUGCAAGCCAGAGAGAGAGAGCCCUCCCAGGGACAGAGUCUGCAGACACACUGACCUUGGACUUGCAGCCUCCAGAACUGUGAGCAGUUCAGUUUGUUGCCUAAACUGCCUGGUCUGUGCCACCGUUUUGUUACAGAGACCGGAGAUAAGAAACCAAGAGGCCUGAGCUAAGACACUCAGGAAGGGCAAGAGUCAAGAGUCAAAAGCUUCAUGAACCAAGCUCAAGUCUCUGAACAAUGAUCUGUGUCUCAUCUAAGUGGUAUUAGGUAGUCAGCACCGCUACACCCUACAUCGCGUUGUCACGGAAGUCAGUCAACACACUAGAAGGCACCAGAGAAGUUAUGAAAUCGAGCCAGAGGGUCUGCCUCCUAACUGGAGGAGAGGUAACUGCAAGACUGAGAAAAACUGGUAGACAUCGGUACGUGUCAAUCUUAGGGUAUCUGAAAACCCUGCAAAGUCUCAGGGACAUCUGAAACUUACAUAAAUCAAACUCAACUGGUCUUCUCGCAGGAGGGAGCAGAGGGAGACGUGGAUUCGGGGUGGGAACCACUUUUAGGAUCCCGUCCUUUCCAUGCAGUUCCUCGGCACCCCGCUCCCUCCUUCACAAAUGAUAUCCUCAAAACAUCCCAAUCCGAAUGUGACCACUGCUUCCUGUUGGGACUCAACCUUCCAGCCUAGCUGGAGAAACAAAGUGAGGAGCCCUGAAAAUUAAUCAGUGAUGCCUGGCAUUUUCCGAAGUGAUGAGAAGCUUUCCCGAUUUAAAAGAAAACUUAAAAACAAAGGAAAAGAAAUAGAAAUCCAAGUAGAAAGGGGAAGGAAAGAAGGAAGAGAAGGAAAGGCAGCAGAUGCAGCGAACAUACACAAUGACUCUUUCUAAACGGACUCUAGUUACAUGACUGUCCUUGUAAAUAUAAUCCCCCAAAGUGGCGAAUCCAACCCAGGGAGUCUGAAUCACAGACAGGAUAGAGAACCCUGACUUAACUGGCGAUUACAGAGUUCGUAAAACUAUACACUUAGUGUGAACGCCCGUGGGCGUAUGUGCACAGAGGGGUGUCCCAACUCAGAGAGUCAGAGAACAUUGAUUUUCCCAGAAUUUGUAGAGACCCUUCUGAGCUUCUCAUUGGUUGUUCACAUACACUUCUCUGCAAUUCAGAAGGUGAGCGCAGUCAGAUCUUCACACUGGCACACGGCCUUCCAUGUCCCUUUUUUGUAAACCUCUGAAAUACAGCACAAGUUACUACAAGCCAGGAGAGGUCUCCAUGUGCCCUCAGUUCACCAAAUAUGCUCUGGCCCGAAUGCAGAGCUCCUGCAGCGCUGCUGUCUCUUCUGCAUUAUGACCAAAUGACAGCGCACUUGUCUUUUGGGGUCUUGGGCUGUCAUUUGUCUUUUCCUAUGGAGUUUACCCCCCCUGCCUAAGAUGAUGUGUCCCCGAAAAGCAAGUCUUAAUCUGGUCACUUCUUCAAAGGAGAGCAAAUCUAGUUUCUAGGCCCACCUUCCUCCACUUGAUAUCAUGGCUCACUUCGGCCGGGAUUAGGCAGGCUCAGCAAUGAGAACCGAAUCUCCUGUUCUGCAGGCAAGAGCCCCUGGGAAGAAAUGGCUGAAGGUACAAUUCUCCACUGCAGCAGAACUUAUCAAGGCAAUCGUGGCGCCAUGAGAGAUACAUUAAUCUGUGGUUGACUAUGAAUUCGCUUUGCCAACGAGUAUGCCUCUGAGAGGCCUAGGUGACACAGGGGGUCCCCUGAUACUUCCUGGGGAUGUUUUCUAUGCUGCCAUGGGUGUUCGAUGGCUCAUUAUGAACUGCCAGUGUGUUGCCAUGCUCAAAUGUGGAAAACCACUGGCUGUUUGGAUGCACGCACACAGAUAAGCCUACCCUGUGUGGUGGGGUAUGUGACUGGGCGGCCCCUGACAUGUCUUGGGUGGUCUGCUUUUUCGCAGGUCUAGGCGGAGACUGCAAAUCAGCUGGGACUGAAGCAACGUCAGACAGGAAGUUGUUAAAUUAUCUCAGCAUAGUUUGAAAGCGCAAGUCAGUGAGCACACAUGGCUCUGAAGGAGAACAUCAAAGGACCUUCUAAUAAAACCGUGCACAGGCUCCCUUUUCCCAGUGCUCUUAAGUCGGUGACUAAAAGCUUUGAAAAUCUGCAUCAGAGGUAGAGGGACUACCCAGAAGCAAAGGGAAGGGGACUCCUUCCCUUUAGAGGAUCCAUGUUCUUAAUGCUUCUCUGGUGCUGUGAGAGGUGCUGGAUGAAGAGGACACCAAGGGCCCCCAAGAAAGAAUGUGCCUUGAGAAGGGGUGGUGAGUGAGGACUGCUGACCUGGGAAUGAGGGCAAGGUGAAGUGCAUGUGUGAUUGAGCUGCUGAACCUGGCGGUCAUCCCUUGGGAACAGCGACCCGGGAGGUUACAAGAGCCCCUGCGUGGGGCACAGCAUCAAUCUCCACGUCCUCCUUCCGACCCCAACAAAGCUCUAAGAAGCUGUGUUGUCACAGUUAUGGGGCAAAGGGAGCCAAGGUGGCUCGUUAUGCGACCCACUUGUCCCCUUUCAAGAAGACAUGUGCAAGCAGGGAGAGCCCUUCCAUACUGGAUUCAAUCUCUGAGAUUCUUGCAAAACUGACGGGAGGAGGGAAAGAAAAGGAGGCCCCAAGAAUCAAAGGGGAGGGGUGAGAAGGGGGAGUCACAGGGGCACCAGAGUCACUGGGGAGGGGGAUGGGCUCCAGUCAUCAACCUGAAAAUUAUGAACAGAUUUUUAUCUCAUUUGUACCUGCUGGAGAAGCUAAUCAUAUCAACUACAAUAAAAACAUUUUUAUUCUGAAGAUGGUUUUUGUUUCCUUCCCAAAAUACCAUGAUGGAUUUUUUUUAGAUCUUCAAAGGCUUGGCUUUUUUCUAUUCCCUCUGCCACCUCUACCACCGAAAUCCCCAGUUUCUAAAGACGCUCUGCUCAGACACCCAUUUUAAGUAGCAGGACACACAGUCAAGAGCCAACCGUCCAGGAGAAGCAUGUGGACGUCUUCUCCUCUGACUUGAGGCUGCCCCUGAGAAGAGAUCGGGGAAACACAAAGGGCUCGCUCUCUCCGGGUGGGGAACAGCACGCAGCCUCAGCUCCGUGCUGUCCAGAGCUCAUCAGCUACAGUCGGUGUGAAGCCUGCAGCCCGUGGGGCCCUAAACCUCCCCAUAAUAAUUCACCCAGUCUGGAGAGUUCUCCCAAGUACUCGGAUCAAGUGCAUGACACUUCCCCCAAUGGCGGCAUUGGCUAAUGGCCUAACAGAACUUAGAUGGCUCCACCAAGCCAUGCAAUUUUAUCACAUAUGUUCCAAUGAGUGGCUAUCGCUGAGUUGAUGGGCGGACACGGAACAGUAGUUGAGGCAGGUGGUCAAGCCCACAUCCAAGGGCACCCGGGAAAGUGGACCCUUUGAGCCCCAGCUGACUCGUCUUUGAAGUAGGGGUGUUCAUAGGGACCACUCAGGUCUGCUGUGAGGAGUGAAUGGGAUCAACGCUUGGCCACGUGCAGGAAACCAGAGGCAAUGGUUGGUGUUGCUGCUGGAGCUCCUAUGUAAAGCAAUGAUGCACUGAAGAAGACAGGUCUGCCUCCCACAACCACGAACAGGCUUCCG
ensembl:lncRNA